rnacentral:lncRNA from 1 species
GUUCAUAAAAUCAUGUGAGUUAGGUUUCUUGAAACUCUCACUUAGCCAUCAUCACCUUAACAAACUCCUCGUAAUUUAUCUGGCCAUCACCAUCAACAUCAGCCUCACGAAUCAUCUCAUCAACUUCCUCGUCAGUGAGCUUCUCCCCCAGAUUUGUCAUCACAUGGCGCAGCUCAGCAGCAGAAAUGAAGCCAUUCUGAUCCUUAUCAAAAACUCUGAAAGCCUCUUUCAGCUCCUCCUCAGAGUCGGUGUCUUUCAUCUUCC